rnacentral:rRNA from 1 species
GUGCCAGCAGCCGCGGUAAUACGUAGGGUGCGAGCGUUAAUCGGAAUUACUGGGCGUAAAGGGUGCGCAGGCGGUCCCGCAUGUCGGGCGUGAAAUCCCCGGGCUUAACCUGGGAAUGGCGUCCGAAACUAUGGGACUGGAGUGUGGCAGAGGGAGGUGGAAUUCCACGUGUAGCGGUGAAAUGCGUAGAGAUGUGGAGGAACACCGAUGGCGAAGGCAGCCUCCUGGGCCAACACUGACGCUCAUGCACGAAAGCGUGGGGAGCAAACAGGAUUAGAUACCCCUGUAGUCC